CAGGCCCUCCGCUCAGCCCUUCCCCCAGGAUGGCAGGACUGUUUCCCAGUCACGGCAUCCCUCUGGCAAUUUGGGGAAGCCCACGGAGCCUUUCUCAGCCUAACUGAAGGAAAUGCUCAUUUUCAAAUAGACCUUAGUGAAAAAUAAAGAUGUUUCCCCGCUCUGAGAUCUCUCCAGAGACCUAAGAGCCCCGCGUUAAAAUCGGGGACCAUACUCUAUUGGAUUUAACUCAAUUUAAUAUAUUGAGUCCUUCGCCUUUGCCAGGAAUAGUCGUAGGCAGAGAGGAUACACAGACAGAAAUGAAACUGUUUCUGGGCUCCCGGAGCUCCUAUCAGAACCAGGGAGUUGGGAAGAGAAGAGAAACGGCCGUGUCGGGAAGGCCGAGGAAGGAAAGUCUGUCCCGGAGGAGAGAAGUGGCCCGGAUGGAAAGAUCCGGAAAGGUCGUGGAGCACGAGGACCAAGCGGCAGCCGUCAGAUGUAGCCGAUGAGGAAGCAGAGAGCGCCAGACUUAAAGGACUUGCCCGGGAUUAUACAGCUAAUAAGUGGCUGAGGCCAGAUUUGAACUCGGAAUAAUGAAUCUUGCCGGAGCUCUCUCCAUUGCCCUUAUCCUGGUUUGGGGUGGGCGCGGGGAGAGGGUGAAAAGGAGAUCUGAGGUCCCCGAGUUUGAAGUACGGGAACCUGAGUCUGCCUAAGAAGAGCCCGAGUUAUAACGCACAGUUUUGUGCAAGAAAUGCAAUUUUAUAACUUUCAACGGAUACUAAAUAAAGUAGAUUAAUGAAAAAAA